GCGAACGCUGGCGGCAGGCCUCACACCUGCAAGUCGAACGAACCUUUCGGGGUUAGUGGCGGACGGGUGAGUAACACGUGGGAACGUGCCUUUAGGUUCGGAAUAACUCAGGGAAACUUGUGCUAAUACCGAAUGUGCCCUUCGGGGGAAAGAUUAAUCGCCUUUAGAGCGGCCCGCGUCUGAUUAGCUAGUUGGUUGAGGUAAUGGCUCACCAAGGCGACGAUCAGUAGCUGGUCUGAGAGGAUGAUCAGCCACAUUGGGACUGAGACACGGCCCAAACUCCUACGGGAGGCAGCAGUGGGGAAUCUUGCGCAAUGGGCGAAAGCCUGACGCAGCCAUGCCGCGUGAAUGAUGAAGGUCUUAGGAUUGUAAAAUUCUUUCACCGGGGACGAUAAUGACGGUACCCGGAGAAGAAGCCCCGGCUAACUUCGUG
rnacentral:rRNA from 1 species